GGUUUCUAAAUAGGUCAGAAGUGACAGGUUCAGUGUGUUCAGUGAGCCAGAGCUGAAGAUUCUGUUACCAAAGAGACCAGAACCUGAGGAGAGGAAGUAGCCUGACAGGAAGUUGGGGGGGGGGGCAGUUGGUGAGUGAGGCAAGAAAGGGCUACUGACAGUUGAAGGUCUUUUGUCUCUGGGAUCUCUAAAGAGCAGGACGUCUGGCUCUGAGGCAGUUGGGCUGCUAUAGAAAACGGAUUGAAGGACACCAGCACCAGCACCAGCACCACCUUAACUACCACCAGCACCAGCACCAGCACCAGCACCAGCACCACUACUACUACUACUACUACUACUACUACUACUACUACUACUACUACUACUACUACUUCUACUACUACUACUACUACUGCUGCUGCUGCUGCUACUACUACUACUACUACUACUACUACUACUACUACUACUACUACUACUACUACUACUACUACUACUACUGCUAUUGCUACUGCUACUGCUACUGCUACUGCUACUACUACUACUCCCUNNNNNNNNNNNNNNNNNNNNNNNNNNNNNNNNNNNNNNNNNNNNNNNNNNNNNNNNNNNNNNNNNNNNNUCAUUUUAUCCUCAUGACAGUCUUGAGAAAUAAGUGCUCCUAUUAUCCCCAUUUUACAUAAAAAAACUGAAGCAGAGACAAAUUAAGUGACUUGUCUAGACUCAUACAGCAAGUAUGUGAUGUCCGAUUUGAACUUGGAUCUUCCUGACUUGGUUCAGUUCUCUAUCCACUGUUCUGAAAAAGCCUAAUUUUAGGGCUUGAAGGAACUUUAAAUGUCAUCUAGUUCACCCAUCCCCUAUUCUUUAUAUAAAGAUUAGGAUUUUGAACCUCAGAGCUUUGCAGUGAUUUAAUCCAAAGUCAGAUAGGUAAUAAGUCACAAAGCUGGGAUUUGAAUUCUUCCUAAUGCUAGUUGACUGGGAGUAGGGAAGAGGAGGGGCGGGGUUUGCCUUUCUACAAUGUCUUUUCUCAAUCUAGGGCUGAUUGUCCCACUAGGCUAUACUUUUUAUUGCUUUAGGUGUAUGUUGUCAUAAAGAGGGCAUUGGGGUUUAGUGUUCAAGCACUUGGAUUCAAGACCUGGCUUUAGUGCUUAUUAGUUGUGUAACUGUGGAUAAGACAUUUCAAUGGUCUCCACCUCAAUUUCCUCCUGUGUAAAGUGAGAUCUUUAAGGUCCCUUCCAGCUCUUAUAACCUCCUGGACAAUGCAUACCACCUUUAUAGCAUGGCAGAUUCAAGAGGUUAUACAGAGAACAAAAUCAGACAUCUACAUUUAUAUUAUGCCAGAGGUGGCCUAAAUUAGUAUAAUUACUACGUUUAGAUACUUAAGGGAAGGGAGAUAAUUAGGAGCAAAAGGUUAUUUUUUGGAUAACAGAGACUUGAUAACUUGGCCAAGUUAUUUCUCAUCAUUGAAUUAAAGAGCAGUGUGCAAAAGACCUACAUUAUUUCAUUUAUUUUAUUGUUGUCAUUCUUGGGGAUGAAAGAAGAAACAUGGAAGCAGGUCCUAGUCUUUUGGGAUACUCUUUUAGUUCAAUGCGCUUAAAAAAAUACCCAAGGUCCUUGAAAAAUGGUCAUUCAUAGACUAUUAUGUGCUGAUAGUUAUCUUCUGUAAAUGCACAUGAAAGCAGG
ensembl:lncRNA